ensembl:lncRNA SUCLG2-DT SUCLG2 divergent transcript
AGGCGUUCUUAAGGCUGCAGAGCCCUGGGUCCCCCACCCGGCCCCGGUUCACUUUGAGCGGUCCCAAGGCCUGAGGGCCUACUGUCCAGUCCCCAGGUUAUCGUCCUGAGCAAAGACAGACCCCGAGCCCUGCGGUCUUGGGGCUCAAACAGUCCCUGGAUGGCCAAACAAGCAAAUAUUCGCCAUGGCAGUGGGUGCUGGAAGGGUGGCUCACGGAGCUGACGCCCUCCGCAGAGAACCGUGGUCUAGUCCUGCGGUCACGAGGCCUAUCUGGGACAGUGGUGUUUGAGCUGAGACUUUAACGAAUAGAGACAGGUGAGGUUCCUGCAGCCCAGGGCUUCAGCGUGAACAACCCCAGAAGGAAAAAGAGUGCUGUUGUUAAAGGUAUCUGGCAUCAUGGACCCAACCAUCACCAGGAGUUUCUCACUUCAUCUCUGUGUGAUAAAUUUUGACAUAUGUAUACAUCCAUGAAGCCGGCACCACAAUCAAGAUAAUGAACAUCUCGCUUACCCCAGAAGUUUCCUGUGCCCUGUCACUCCUCCGUAUUCCUCCAUCCUCAGCCUCUCCACUAUAGCAGUAUUGUUCAAACCCAGUGCUACAGACAAGCUACAUCAGAAUUACCCAAGGAACUUAAGAUGUAGUUUCCUGAGAUGUUCCUGAAGGGGUUGUUUCAGUGAGCCUGGAGAUUCAUAUGGAUUUCAUCAAAUGGUCUGCUGCACUGUGCUGGAAUUUUGAACUCCCCAGAGUAGUAAACAACAUCUUCUCAAGGGUAUACAAGUCAUCAGAUAGAGAAAACACCCAUUAUAGAGCUGUGGAGCCCUUACGAUAUAGUGCUAUGCUGCAACAAAUUAGACAGAAGAGUAUUUGUUGAAUAAUAAAAGGUAUCAAUGAACGAACAAAUAAAUUAAUGAGCUGAUGUAUUGAUUAAAUGAAUUUACUUCUUUCAGAUUUACUUUUCCAAACUAAAAAAAAAUUGUUUUAAACUUUGUUCCAAAGUUAUACAGUUUUUACAAAAAUAAAACUUUAUUUUUGAAUUGCUUUAUAUUUACAGAAAAGUUGCAAAGAUAUGGAAAGUUGCCUCACCCUAUAAUUAGCUUCUGACAUUAGUAUGGUACAUUUGUCACAAUUAUUGAACCAGUAUUGAUGAUAUGUUAUUAUUAACUAAAUUCUAUACUUUAUAAAGAUUUCCUCAGUUUUUACCUAAUGCCAUUUCUCUGUUCCAGGAACCCAUCCCAGAAAUCACAUUUCAUAUUGAUAUCAAGUUUCCUAAGACUCCUCUUCGUAGGUACAGUUUCAGGGCCAAAAUUUUAAGGGCCUUGAGUGUUUUGAGCAGUACUGGACAGGUGUUUUUUAGGAUGUCCCUCGACUGAGCUUUGACUGAUGAAUUGCUCAUGAUUGAAUUGGGACUAUGGGUCUUCAGAAGAAAGAUCAUGAGCCCUUUUUGUCACAUCAUGUCAAAGAUACCAUGCCAUCAAUACAACUUAUUACUGAUGAUGUUGACAUUGACCACUUGACUGAGAUAACAUUUGUCAGAUUUCUCCACUGUAAAGUUACUUUUCCCCACUUUCCAUACUAUACUCUUUUGUAGGAAGUCACUAUGCACAGGCCAUACUUAAAGAGAGCUCCAUCUCCUUGAGGGCAGAGUAACUACAUUAAAUAUUUGAAAUCUUUCUGCCCAGGAGAUUUGUCUAUUUUUCCAAUUUAUUUAUUCAAUCUAUUAUUAUUAUGUUAGAUAUGAGACCUUGCUAUGUUGCCUAGAUGGGUCUCAAACUCCUGAGCUCAAGUAAUCCUUCUGUCUCAGCCUCCUGAGCAGGUGGGACUAUAGGCAUGCACCACUGCACCUGACAAUCAUUUAUUGAUGGCAGUAUGAACUCAUGGACAUUUGUUUUAUCCUUAAGUUAUAACCCAAUAUUAUAUUAUUUUAUUGCUAAAUUAUUUCAGUUUUGGCCAUUGAAGCUCUUUUGUUUAAUGCCCAUGUCAUUUUGACAUACCUCUAUCAUUGUGGGAUUUCUUUUUACUUUUUUGCAGAUAUUUCUUUAGUUUUUGGCACUACAAGAGGCUCUAGUUUCAUCAUCUAUCCUGCCCCAGCCCAAGAUUCAACCAUUUCUUCAAGUAGCCCUUGCUCUUUUUUACUGUACAUUGUAAUUAAUAAUCAAGUUCUUGGCACUAGGUUCUUCAGAAAUUUUUUUUUAGUUUAUAUGUUUGUUGAUAAGGUAUUGAUAAAGAUUCUGCUAGUGAUUACCAAUGUAACUUUUGGCAAAUUAUCUGAAACAUGGAAAUAAUAAUUUCUACUUCAUAGGACUGUUGUACAUUUUAAAUGGAUUCACUAGGAUAGUGCACGG